CGGGGGGGGGCAAGCGUUGUUCGGGAAUUACUGGGGCGUAAAGGGCGCGCAGGCGGCCCGGCCAGUCCUACGUGAAAUCCCACAGCUCAACUGUGGGAACUGCGUGGGAUACUGCCAGGCUUGAGUCCCGGGAGAGGAGAGUGGAAUUCCCAGUGUAGCGGUGAAAUGCGUAGAUAUUGGGAGGAACACCGGUGGCGAAGGCGGCUCUCUGGACCGGCACUGACGCUGAGGCGCGAAAGCUAGGGGAGCAAACGGGAUUAGAUACCCCGGUAGUCCUAGCCCUAAACGAUGAGCACUUUGUGUGGCGGGUAUCGACCCCUGCCGUGCAGAAGCUAACGCAUUAAGUGCUCCGCCUGGGGAGUACGGUCGCAAAGGCUGA
rnacentral:rRNA from 1 species